GAUGAAGAACGUAGCGAAAUGCGAUACUUGGUGUGAAUUGCAGAAUCCCGUGAACCAUCGAGUCUUUGAACGCAAGUUGCGCCCGAAGCCACUAGGCCGAGGGCACGCCUGCCUGGGCGUCACACGUCGUUGCCCCCCCAUCUACUCCUUCGGGAUUGCGGGGGGGCGGAUGAUGGCCUCCCGUGCGCCUAGCCGCGCGGUUGGCAUAAAUACCAAGUCCUCGGCGACGCACGCCACGACAAUCGGUGGUUGCGAACCCUCGGUUGCCCGUCGUGUGCGUUCGUCGCGCAUCGAGGGCUCGAAAAAAUGCUCGGCUUCGGCUCGGCUUUCAACGCGACCCCAGGUCAGGCGGGGUUACCCGCUGAAUUUAAGCAUAUCAAUAAGCGGAGGA
rnacentral:misc_RNA from 1 species